rnacentral:rRNA from 1 species
CAGCAGCCGCGGUAAUACGUAGGGUGCGAGCGUUAAUCGGAAUUACUGGGCGUAAAGCGUGCGCAGGCGGUUAUAUAAGACAGAUGUGAAAUCCCCGGGCUCAACCUGGGAACUGCAUUUGUGACUGUAUAGCUAGAGUACGGCAGAGGGGGAUGGAAUUCCGCGUGUAGCAGUGAAAUGCGUAGAUAUGCGGAGGAACACCGAUGGCGAAGGCAAUCCCCUGGGCCUGUACUGACGCUCAUGCACGAAAGCGUGGGGAGCAAACAGGAUUAGAUACCCUGGUAGUCCACGCUCUAAACGAUGUCAACUGGUUGUUGGGUCUUCACUGACUCAGUAACGAAGCUAACGCGUGAAGUUGACCGCCUGGGGAGUACGGCCGCAAGGUUGAAACUUAAAGGAAUUGACGG